UACGUAGGGUGCAAGCGUUACUCGGAAUUACUGGGCGUAAAGCGUGCGCAGGCGGUUUUGUAAGGCUGUCGUGAAAUCCCCGGGCUCAACCUGGGAAUGGCGAUGGUGACUGCAAGGCUAGAGUUUGGCAGAGGGGGGUAGAAUUCCACGUGUAGCAGUGAAAUGCGUAGAUAUGUGGAGGAACACCGAUGGCGAAGGCAGCCCCCUGGGUCAAAACUGACGCUCAUGCACGAAAGCGUGGGGAGCAAACAGG
rnacentral:rRNA from 1 species